AUUCCUCUUCCAAAGACUUGCUGAGCACCUUCUAGGUGCCAGAUGCGGUGCUGGCUCCUGGGGACAUGGGAGUGAACAGGCCAGGCGUGGCCCUGAACCAUCAAAUAGACAACCACAGAAAUAACAACAACAAAGACAAAACCGGGCCCUUCCACACAGUAGCUGGAACACAAAGGAAGAUCAGCCAAGCCUCAACAUAAUCUCAUAAAAAUUCUUCAAAUAUCCCAUUGUUAUGGAUUCAUACAUCAGGAAAGCAGAUGCCAAGAACCUGAACACCUUCUACUGGUAACAUAUAUUUUGGCGAGCCAGCCUGGAGACAAGACCACUAUGGGCAACUUCCUGUCUAUUCUACCUGGUGUCACUGUGGACAACUUCCUAUCUAUUCCACCCGAUUCACCGCUUGGCUACAUCCUCCACCAUUGGGAUGAAUUUGACCCUAACAAUCUAAAGAAAAGGCAUAUGAUUUUUUACUGCAA
rnacentral:lncRNA from 1 species